rnacentral:misc_RNA from 1 species
UUAACUAUUAUAUAGUACUCAGACAUCACUAAAGACAAGAGUUGUGGUCCUCUGGCGGGCACGCAACAGCCGAAGCCGCUGGCACGAGGCGGCCCGCCAAAGCAACAAAGGUAAUUUAUUCAAGGGUGGAGUUCAGGACCGAGCUUCUUCGAGAGGCCCGACGACUCUAAACCUUACCGAAGUAGGGUAGCCCCAGGGAGCAAGGCUCCGCGGGCGCUGUCUAUCCUUUGCUCUAGUAAUGAUCCUUCCGCAGGUUCACCUACGGAAA